CUCACUUUUCCUUUCCUUACCUUUGUCCUUGUUGUAGAAAUUUGAGGGACCUCUCCUCUGAUAAAAGGACUUCUUCCGGUUGAUGAACUUUCUGAACUUUCGCACGAGAAGAGCCUCAUCAUCAUCUCCCUCAUUGUCUUCUUCUUCGCUGCUGCUACUGCAAGAUGGAUCUUUGUUAGAAGAAGUAGAUUUGAGGGCUAUUACCUUUUUCUUAUGAGAGGAUUCUUCUUCGCUGUAUUGUUUCAUUGUGAGCUCAUGCGUCAUCAGGGAUCCAA
rnacentral:lncRNA from 1 species